UACGGAGGGUGCAAGCGUUAUCCGGAUUCACUGGGUUUAAAGGGUGCGUAGGCGGCCAACUAAGUCAUACGUGAAAUCCCUCGGCUUAACCGGGGAACUGCGUCUGAUACUGGAUGGCUUGAGUUCGGGAGAGGGAUGCGGAAUUCCAGGUGUAGCGGUGAAAUGCGUAGAUAUCUGGAGGAACACCGGUGGCGAAGGCGGCAUCCUGGACCGAUACUGAC
rnacentral:rRNA from 1 species